CUCUGUAGGUCUGUGGGGGUGUUUUCUAUGUGAAUCUCUUCUUUCAUAGACACUGUCUUAUGAGCUUUGCCACUUUGGUGUUCUGGACCCUUGGCUGUAUCUCCUUUAGUCAGGAGGCUUUAGUCAGGAGGCUCCUCCUCCUGGGUCUCUGCUCCCUGCACUGCAGGCAGCCUGGAAAUCAUCAGCAUAGCAAGCUCUGGUGUCUGGGCUUACCUCCCUUGCUUCUUGCUCUCAGGGGUCCACUUGUAUCUUUGUUGUUGUUACAGCCGGAAAGAUAAAUUUGGUCCUUAGUGCUUCGUCUUGGCCCCUUGGUUUUGUUUGUUUUUUAAUCCUGCCUGUAUCAUCCUGUAGGAAAGCAUUCAAGCUGCUGGUGGAAAUAAGACGAACUGACUGUUGGGAAAAAUAACCCAUAUCUUUCUGAGAUGGAAGGCUUUGGAUGUAGAGUCCUCUGUGAAUUGAAUGAAGAGGCAUCCUGGAGUGAGAAUCUGCAAUGGACUGAUAACUGGCUACAGCUCGGCUACACCAGAUGCAAAACAGGAUUUGUUUUUGAGUGCGAUGGGUGUGGCUUGUCUUUUCCAUGUGAUUAGAUUAGGGGAUUUGCAGGUGGGUCCGACUACUGGGUUCUUCUGUUUUUGAGCCAGAUGUGCUCACAAACACAAGUGGUGCACAUUAACUGUGUGCGUAUUUGCAUGAAUAAGUUUCUCCAUCAUUAAAAGCCAAGGACGGGAAUACUGAAAACACCGUUCUUUCUUCAUUUCAGAAAUAUGAUGAGGUGAC
rnacentral:lncRNA from 1 species